rnacentral:rRNA from 1 species
UACAUGUGGGGCAAGCGUUGUUCGGAAUUACUGGGCGUAAAGGGCGCGCAGGCGGCUCUGAAAGUCAGAUGUGAAAGCCCCGGGCUUAACCUGGGAAUUGCAUUUGAUACUCUGGAGCUUGAGUACGGGAGAGGAGAGUGGAAUUCCCAGUGUAGAGGUGAAAUUCGUAGAUAUUGGGAAGAACACCGGUGGCGAAGGCGGCUCUCUGGACCGUAACUGACGCUGAGGCGCGAAAGCGUGGGGAGCAAACAGG